rnacentral:pre_miRNA from 1 species
AUAGUACUCCUUCUUUCGGAAAUAUUUGUUGAAGAAAUGGAUGUAUUGAGACGUAUUUUAGUUCUAGAUACAUCCAGCUUUAUUCAUUUAUUUGAUAAAUAUUUCCGGACGAACGGAGUCUAAU